rnacentral:lncRNA from 1 species
CUUGAGCAGCCAUGGAUUUACUCUGUCUUUAAAGCCAUCCGUUUCCUGUGAGCCUCGGAUGGUACUUUCACAUCUGUUGCCAGUCCUAGAGCUUCAAGAAAUUUUAUGAUGUACCAAGUCAAGUCAAUUUGCCACCAUUCCAGGCCUUGUCGAGCUGAGUAUUCGAAGGCAUGGUGAUUAUUGUGCCAGCCUUCUCCAAGUGCAACCAAUCCCAACCACCUUGAAAUUUGAGUAUGAAUAAAAAUCCAUUUUAAAAUUGCAACUUUCAUUUCUCAAUUAUAUAUUAAAUAUAUAGUAGAAGGAAGAGUACUAAUUAAUAUAAGUACCAAAGGUUCCUAGACAGAUCCCCGGUGUUCCAUGUCUGAUAUCCCCAGGUGUGGCCAGCAGAAUUUACAAACAAAGUAAUGUGGAAAACAACCACCAUUCUCACGCCCUGCAAAUGAUAAUGAGUUUAAACUCAAGGAUCUGUGCUAGAAGUAAUUAGAAUAAAUAAAUAAAUAAAUAAAAUAAAGAAUAAAAAAGCAUACGUAUUUAUAUAUGUGCUUAUAAUUCUAGUAAUAAGAAUGGGAGAGUUUCAAACACAACUUUUCUGGUUUGAAAUGUUUUAAGAUCUUGUAUGAAUACAUGAUCAAUUUAUUAGAAAUGAAAAAGAGGAAAAUCUAUAUAUCUCACCACUCCCCAAACCAAGAAGGGAAGUCCACCCACGGCAUAUAAUAUGCCUGCAAGAACAAAUGAGUGUAGCAUGAAAGUAUGAUGAAGAAACACAUAAAAUGGCUGCUUUUUCAUGUCUUCAACAUUCUUUAGUCCUCCAUACUGCAAAUUUCUCAUUAAAAAAAAACAAAUUAAGUGUAAGCAUUUGUACCAAAAGAAAAAAGUGUAGAGAGAGAGAGAGAGAGAGAGAGAGAGAGAGAGAGGUUGUUUUUAAUUACUCUUCCAAACCGAGAACUGCUAUCAAGGAUCCAGCCCAUAUGACUAUACCAGAAACCCUUAAGUGGGCUGUGAGCAUCUUUUUCUGUAUCAGUAAACUGGUGGUGGUAUCGGUGUGUGCUCACCCAUUCAAUUGGACUUCCCUGCAAACCCAAAACAACAAACAGAAAAUCGUAAAAGUAGACCAAAAAAAGAAAGAACAUAAACAACAAAACUUGCAAAAUGUUUCUCAAAAAUGAGAUUUGACAUACCUCAAGUGCGAGAACCCCACAGUAGGCAAACAAGUACUCAAGCAAUUUUGGAACCCUAAAACUUCUAUGAGCAAGAUUUCUAUGGUAAGAAAGAGUGAUUCCAAAACCGGUCACAACGGCCAGCCAAAAGGCCACCAAAAACGCAGUCCAAGUGAAGUAAAACGGUGCAAACAAAGCCAGGCAAUGCACACUCAAGAACAUACCAGCUGUCACAAGGUCUAGAAGAUUCCAUUUCCUCCCCAAGAAAUUUGCACAAGGGGUCAUGAGAAUGGUGACCCAAACUUUCAAAAGCCCCAUAAUGAGAGAGAGAGAGAGAGAGAGAGAGAGAGAGAGAAUGGGACUCUUUUUUGAGCCAAUGGUUUUGAGGAUUGUAUGAGAGACAAAGGAUUGCUGCUUGGGAAAGUUGGCCAUGACUUUGGCCAUUACUUAUAGUGAAGCAAUUUAAUUCAGAGCUGCCCCGUCAGGUUAUGGUAGGUGAUGGCAUUAGACUUACUUAUUGUAAUUUCCCCAAACCCCAAACAAAUUCAAUUAGCGUGUUCUUUGUGUUUCUAUUUUUAAAUGAAAAUUCAGAGUUAGAAAGUAACCUACUACUAUAAUUUAAUUGUCACGUCUCAACCCAAACCAUAUGCAUCAUGCUUGCUUCACAGAGAGAGUAUCAUCAAGGGCUAGAGGCCAAACGUACUAUGCAAACCCAGCUGAAGCUCUUAUGACCCAUCAAACCGCUUGAGCCAGUUUCAUUAGAAUGUCAGACAGAGUAAGAGCUAGUAGUUAUAAAGCCUGCUUUUGACAACCACCUAAACAGUAACUUCAAUACUUGUCCUUCUCAAAUUAAUUAAUACUUAACUUCCAUGUCGAUUCAAAAGACACAAACUUCAAAUAAUAUGAAACUAAUCUGUCUCUGAAUCCAAGGAAUACUUCUUGGUUUUCAUAUUGGCCGUUAGAUUUUAUAGUGGAGAAAUCACCACCAUGUAUUUGUUGAAAAUGUGUACCUGGCUAUUAUUUCUUCUAUGCUAAUCUAAAAAUAUUUUAGAAUAUGCUAUUGAACCUAAUCUUCUUACAACUCCAAGUUUAAAUUAGAGAGUAUUAGAAUAAAUAUUAAAAAUAGACAAUAGCUAAUUGGUUGAAUGAUUUGUUGUGAUUACAAACGUCAACAGUACAAAGUAUACAUAUGUCCUACAAUCAACCAGGCUUUAUAUCUAAGGCUUAGAAGCCGUGAUCCACCUUCGGUGGGAUUUGAUCUACACAAACUUAAUUAGGAAAGUAAAUAUAUUACAAUAAAUAAAUUGGGUAAAUUUUACUUUACUACCUGGAAGUUUACCGAAAUUAAGAGUUUACCACCUAAAGUUUUUUUCGUGUCAACUUCGUACCUAAAAUUUGAUAUUCAUGUAACUUUCAUACCUCCAUUAUAAUGUCCGUCAAGUCAUCUGUUAAACGACGACGUGGCAAUUAGUGGGCCUAUAAAGAUCCACUCAUAUUGCGGAUGUGGAUGGACAAAUAUAAAAUAUAAGAAAAAUAUUUUUCCUGUUUUGAUAAGAAGAGAUAAAAAUUAUUAAAUAAAUUUAUAAAAUAAAAAAGCUAAAAUAAAAUUAUUCAAUUUAUAUUUUAAAUGAUUUUAAAAGAGUUAUAAAGUUGAUGGAGUUUAAUUGAAUUUAAUUGAGUUUGACUGAAUUCUACAAACUCCACAUAGAUUUUGACUGAAUUCGUGUAUAGAUUUUAAUUGAGUUUGUUAGAAUUUAAUUAUUGAUUUUAAUGGAGUUUAUAGCGAUGGAGGUGGUGGUGAUGGCGAGGGCGAUCACGGUGGCGAUGGUGGUUUGUAGGGGAGGUGGGGGNNNNNNNNNNNNNNNNNNNNNNNNNNNNNNNNNNNNNNNNNNNNNNNNNNNNNNNNNNNNNNNNNNNNNNNNNNNNNNNNNNNNNNNNNNNNNNNNNNNNGUAUCGAUCAGCUUUCAAAUAAGUUCGAAUGUAAUCAUAGUAUCAGAAAAAACAAGAUGAACAUACUAUGUUUUUUUUUCUCUCAUCAACAGGUGCGUCAGUUUCGUUUUUGACAUAUGAAUGACAUUUGGUUGUCAAAUUUUGUUUAAAACUUUUAGCCUUUCAAAAUUGCACCUCCGCCAAAAAAUUCCUGAGUCCGCCCAACCCAAAGUCAUGAAACAAAACCCCUCAAGUUUGUUAUAAAUGCCGGGUUAAAAGUAAAGCAUUAAUUGCUAAUACAAGCAUAGAAUCAAUUCAUUCUCAACAAUAAUAAGGUCCACAACAUGCAUGAACAAUAUCAUUAUCACCCUUUUCGUCCAAAAAAAAAUAUCAUUAUCACCAUAAAACAGCAAAUAGAGUUUGAAGCUAGACAUCCCAGGCCUAGCCAAAUGUCGAAACCCUAAUCUUGAGCAGCCAUGGAUUUACUCUGUCUUUAAAGCCAUCCGUUUCCUGUGAGCCUCGGAUGGUACUUUCACAUCUGUUGCCAGUCCUAGAGCUUCAAGAAAUUUUAUGAUGUACCAAGUCAAGUCAAUUUGCCACCAUUCCAGGCCUUGUCGAGCUGAGUAUUCGAAGGCAUGGUGAUUAUUGUGCCAGCCUUCUCCAAGUGCAACCAAUCCCAACCACCUUGAAAU